AGUGAACGCUGGCGGCAGGCCUAACACAUGCAAGUCGAACGGCAGCACAGUAAGAGCUCGUGCUUACGGGUGGCGAGUGGCGGAUGGGGGAGGAAUACAUGGGAAUCUGCUUUUUCGUGGGUGAGAACGUAGGGACACUUACGCUAAUACCGCAUACGACCUACGGGGGAAAGCAGGGGAUCUUCGGACCUUGCGCGAGUGUAUGAGCCGAUGUCGGAUUAGCUAGUUGGCGGGGUAAAGGCCCACCAAGGCGACGAUCCGUAGCUGGUCUGAGAGGAUGAUCAGCCACACUGGAACUGAGACACGGUCCAGACUCCUACGGGAGGCAGCAGUGGGGAAUAUUGGACAAUGGGCGCAAGCCUGAUCCAGCCAUGCCGCGUGGGUGAAGAAGGCCUUCGGGUUGUAAAGCCCUUUUAUUGGGGAAGAAAAGCAGCAGGUUAAUACCCCGCUGUUCUGACGGUACCCAAAGAAUAAGCACCGGCUAACUUCGUG
rnacentral:rRNA from 1 species